rnacentral:rRNA from 1 species
GACGAACCGUGCGAACGUUGUUCGGAAUAACUGGGCUUAAAGGGCGCGUAGGCGGGUUCCUCAGUCCGGAGUGAAAGCCCACGGCUCAACCGUGGAAGUGCUUUGGAUACUGGGAACCUCGAGGGGGGUAGGGGCGCGCGGAACGUUCCGGUGGAGCGGUGAAAUGCGUAGAUAUCGGAAGGAACACCGGUGGCGAAAGCGGCGCGCUGGACCCCCACUGACGCUGAUGCGCGAAAGCCAGGGGAGCAAACGGG